CUACGUGCCAGCAGCCGCGGUAAUACGUAGGGUGCGAGCGUUAAUCGGAAUUACUGGGCGUAAAGCGAGCGCAGACGGUUACUUAAGCAGGAUGUGAAAUCCCCGGGCUUAACCUGGGAACUGCGUUCUGAACUGGGUGACUAGAGUGUGUCAGAGGGAGGUAGAAUUCCACGUGUAGCAGUGAAAUGCGUAGAGAUGUGGAGGAAUACCGAUGGCGAAGGCAGCCUCCUGGGAUAACACUGACGUUCAUGCUCGAAAGCGUGGGUAGCAAACAGGAUUAGAUACCCUGGUAGUCCACGCCCUAAACGAUGUCAAUUAGCUGUUGGGCAACUUGAUUGCUUAGUAGCGUAGCUAACGCGUGAAAUUGACCGCCUGGGGAGUACGGUCGCAAGAUUAAAACUCAAAGGAAUUGACGGGGGCCCGCACAAGCGGUGGAGCAUGUGGWUUAAUUCGAUGCAACGCGAAGAACCUUACC
rnacentral:rRNA from 1 species